CCUACGGGGGGCAGCAGUGGGGAAUAUUGGACAAUGGGGGGAACCCUGAUCCAGCCAUGCCGCGUGUGUGAAGAAGGCCCUCGGGUUGUAAAGCACUUUCAGUGAGGAAGAACGCCUGGUGGUUAAUACCCAUCAGGAAAGACAUCACUCACAGAAGAAGCACCGGCUAACUCCGUGCCAGCAGCCGCGGUAAUACGGAGGGUGCGAGCGUUAAUCGGAAUUACUGGGCGUGAAGCGCGCGUAGGUGGCUUGAUAAGCCGGUUGUGAAAGCCCCGGGCUCAACCUGGGAACGGCAUCCGGAACUGUCAAGCUAGAGUGCAGGAGAGGAAGGUAGAAUUCCCGGUGUAGCGGUGAAAUGCGUAGAGAUCGGGAGGAAUACCAGUGGCGAAGGCGGCCUUCUGGACUGACACUGACACUGAGGUGCGAAAGCGUGGGUAGCAAACAGGAUUAGAUACCCCAGUAGUC
rnacentral:rRNA from 1 species